UACGUGGAGGGCUAGCGUUACCCGGAUUUAUUGGGCGUAAAGAGCGUGUAGGCGGUUUGGUAAGUGAGAAGUGAAAGCUUUGGGCUCAACCCAAAAAUUGCUUUUCAAACUACCAGACUUGAGAUUAGGAGAGGUAACCGGAACUCGUGGUGUAGGGGUGAAAUCCGUUGAUAUCACGAGGAACGCCGAAAGCGAAAGCAGGUUACUAGCCUAAUUCUGACGCUGAGACGCGAAAGCGUGGGUAGCGAAC
rnacentral:rRNA from 1 species